GUUUAUUAGAAGUAUAACCUGCCCCUGAAUUUUAAAGGGCCGCGGUAAUUUGACCGUGCAAAGGUAGCAUAAUCAUUAGUCUUUUAAAUGGAGGCUGGAAUGAAUGGUUGGACGAGAUAUAUACUAUCUUAUUAAUAUGUUUUGAAUUUAAUUUUUGAGUUAAAAAGCUCAAAUAUUUUUUUGGGACGAGAAGACCCUAUAGAGUUUUAUAUUUAUAUUUGUUAAUAUUUGUUAGUUAUAUUUUUGUAAUAAUUUAUUUAUUUUGUUGGGGUGAUGGAAAGAUUAAAUAAACUCUUUUUAUUAUUUAUUUAUUGAUUUAUAGUUUAUUGAUCCAUUAUUUGUGAUUAUAAGAUUAAAUUACCUUAGGGAUAACAGCGUUAUCUUUUUUGAGAGUUCAUAUCGACAAAAGGGAUUGCGA
rnacentral:rRNA from 1 species